CACGUAGGAGGCGAGCGUUGUCCGGAAUCAUUGGGCGUAAAGAGCGCGCAGGCGGCUUGGCAAGUCGGGUGUGAAAUCCCGGGGCUCAACCCCGUGACUGCAUCCGAUACUGUCAGGCUAGAGGUAGGUAGGGGAGAUCGGAAUUCCUGGUGUAGCGGUGAAAUGCGCAGAUAUCAGGAGGAACACCGGUGGCGAAGGCGGAUCUCUGGAACGGUACUGACGCUGAGACGCGAAAGCGUGGGGAGCGAACAGG
rnacentral:rRNA from 1 species